CGCCGCUGCCCAGACUGCUACACUUCACCCCGCCUCCCAGAAUGGAUUUAUCAUGUUACUGAGUGAGCCGUGUAUCAAGUGAAAGUGCACGCAUAAUGGACAUCUCCGGGCCGUAACUUCACCUUGAUCGGGGACAUAGGCGAGUGACUGAGGUGAUCACCCGUCAUGUUACCGUGGUGCUGUGGGAAAUGUCCUCCCCAGUGUGGGUGUCCUGGCCUCCAUGGAUAGAGAACACAAACCAUCAGCCUGGAGAAAUCUGAAACGUAAAAGCUUCGCGUGUCUGUUGCACUGCAUUGCCCACUAGACAACUGCUGCCGUCACAGUGGAAAGUCUGUAUCAGGAGUACAACAACUGCUUCACGUGCGUCUGAUCCGGGAGGACCGCCGGGAGCUGCUGUUGCUGCUUGGUAUGGGGCCCGAGUGUUCACCUGGCCCCAGCGUCCUUGUGUGACGUCAUGGCCAGCGUGGGUCCGUGACGUCACUAUCCUUGUGUGUGACGUCUUAAGCUAUGUAGAUGAGUGACGUCGCGUGUGUGUGUGUGUGUGUCCGUGUGUCCGUGUUUGUGUGCGUGUUUGUGCUUAUGGAUUAUGAAACUGACCAACCUCAUUAAUCAAGGCAUAAGUAACACACACACACACACACACACACACACACACACACACACGUGGAGGGCAAAGUGUUACGUGCACUGGCGCUCACUCACCUCUGGCUCACCCUUACCUGUCUGAACUCGCUCUUACCUACUCCUUAAUCACCUUUUAUGUGCCACUUUCUGACUGUUCUUACUCUCCUGUUUAUCAUAUAAUUCACUUCUUAUUGCUUUCUCUUACCUACUUCAUUGUCUUAAUUACCUUUUCUCGCCACCUAACACCCCCUGAACCUCUUUCCUUAUGUCUGUCUGUCUGUUUCCUGCUACGUAUUUCCAUCCUUUAUUUCGCCUUUUCCUCUCCUUUGCUUUCAUCUUUUUUUUUUUUUACCUUCGCUUGCUCAACAUUUUCCUCUCCUCUCUCGUAUUUCAUUUGUUUUAUGCAGACCCACCCAUUUAAUCGUGCUUUUAUCUACGUUUUUUUCUUCCUCCUCCUCCUCCUCCUCCUCCUCCUCCUCCUCCUCCUCCUCCUCCUCCUCCUCCUCCUCCUCCUCCUCCUCCUCCUCCUUUCUUCCUUCAAACUCCUUCUCUUACUCACCAUAUUCUUGACCUCAAUUGUUCCGCCCCCACCUCUCCCACCCCUCCCCGGUUAUCGUCUCCUCUCCACCAUCCCUAUUGCUGCUUCCAUUCUCCCUAGCCUUUAAUAUCCUCCCUCUCUGUGCCACAUCCACCCCCAUCUCCACCUGUACUCCGCCCUGACCUCAAUCACCGCAUCAGUCUGUGCCGCUAAGUGCGAUCGCAGCAACAGGAAUUGUAUGCAUGCCUGUUUUCUCUGUCUGGCUGUCUGUCUGUCUGUCUGUCUCUGUCUGUCUCUGUCUGUCUGUCUCUGUCUGUCUGUCUCUGU